GCGAUUGCUGACAAAGUGAGUCGAGCGGUGAUAAUGGGUAGAUCGUAAAGACGCUGCAAGUACCUCCCUGUAAGCUCGAGCCGCGCCAUCCCUGGCGCGGACGCUUU
rnacentral:ncRNA from 1 species